CAGCACACGGGAAUACGAAGGGUGCAAGCGUUAAUCGGAAUUACUGGGCGUAAAGCGUGUGUAGGUGGUUGUCUAAGUCUGUCGUGAAAGCCCUGGGCUCAACCUGGGAAUUGCGAUGGAUACUGGGCGACUAGAGUGCGGUAGAGGAUAGUGGAAUUUCCGGUGUAGCAGUGAAAUGCGUAGAGAUCGGAAGGAACAUCUGUGGCGAAGGCGACUAUCUGGGCCAACACUGACACUGAGACACGAAAGCGUGGGGAGCAAACAGGAUUAGAUACCCCCCGUAGUCCCUGUCUCUUAUACA
rnacentral:rRNA from 1 species